AUGGUGAUUCUGCGCUCUCACAGGGACACGGAGACGGCGGAGAUGGCGCAGGGGCAGGGCAGCCCGGACCUGGUUGGUUUCCAGUUCUACAAGCUCAUGGCUGCCGGAAUGUCCUGGGAGAAGCUGGUGCUGCCUGACAAGUUCGUGAGGGGGCUCAACGGCCGCGAGCUCCGGGGCGUGAAGCUGCGGGUGGAGGGCGGAGGGGCGCGCGCGUGGGACGUGGAGGUCGUCGUCAACGAGUGCGGCGACAUGCACCUCGGCAGGGGCUGGAAGGAGUUCGUCCGCGCCAACGGCGUAGAGCUGGGGCAGCUCCUCGUCUUCUGCUACGACGGCGCCGGCGCCGCCCUGCUCACCGUCAAGGUGUUCGACGACUCCGAGUGCGGGAGACACUGCAGCCAGCGCGAGGAGGAAAACGACAGCGCCGCAGAAGAGGAGUCCCCGCCACCGGCGUUGCCAGGGAGUGGAAGCAGCAGCAGCGACGGCGUCGUCCAUGGCGGCGGAGGCGGCGCCGCGCCGAGUCGGUUCACCGUGACGCUGGGGCAGUGCCACCUGGGCACCAAGAAGAAGCAGUACCUGAACGUGCCUGUGGAGUUCAGCCAGUCGCACGGGUUCACGGAGAAGGGCAGGGUGGUGCUGCGGAUGCGCGGGCAGCAGUGGACCGUCUGCCUCAAGCACAGCAACCGGCGCAAGGGCAACGCGAGGACCCGCACGGCGCUGAGGUACGGGUGGAACCGGUUCCGCGUCGACAACGGCCUCCGCGUCGGCGACAUCUGCUUCUUCCAGCUGGUGCAGGACGCCGGCGGCGACGACCCGGUGCUCAGCGUCGAGGUGCGCAAGGCGGACGGCACCAUCGUCCAGUGA
rnacentral:rRNA from 1 species